AUCCAACUGAAGAGUUGUAAAUAGGAUGAAAUGCGCAUCCUUGAU
rnacentral:hammerhead_ribozyme from 1 species